rnacentral:rRNA from 1 species
UACGAAGGGGGGCUAGCGUUGUUCGGAUUUACUGGGCGUAAAGCGCACGUAGGCGGAUCGUUAAGUCGGGGGUGAAAUCCUGGAGCUCAACUCCAGAACUGCCUUCGAUACUGGCGAUCUUGAGUCCGGAAGAGGUGAGUGGAACUCCUAGUGUAGCGGUGAAAUGCGCAGAUAUCAGGAGGAACACCGGUGGCGAAGGCGGAUCUCUGGGCCUUGCCUGACGCUGAGGAGCGAAAAGCAUGGGGGAGCGAACAGG